rnacentral:rRNA from 4 species
ACACGUGGUAUCCUGUCUGAAUAUGGGGGGACCAUCCUCCAAGGCUAAAUACUCCUGACUGACCGAUAGUGAACCAGUACCGUGAGGGAAAGGCGAAAAGAACCCCGGCGAGGGGAGUGAAAAAGAACCUGAAACCGUGUACGUACAAGCAGUGGGAGCACGCUUAGGCGUGUGACUGCGUACCUUUUGUAUAAUGGGUCAGCGACUUAUAUUCUGUA